CAGACUGGAACUGCGCGAAGAGAAGCCCACCACCAAGGGGCGAAGUGAGAAAGCUGAGACCCCGCUUUGAAUUCCAGCAGUAUGGCACAAGUUUCAGCGCAUUGGAGAUCCUACUGCACACAUUCAGGCUUUUGGUAAAUCUGUGGGAAUACUCCACACCUUACCCAGAGAAAACUCGGUGCUUUCUUAAAAGAAGGGAUAUGUAGCCUAUGUGUAAGUGGUUUGAUGCAGACUGUCGGCAUCUGAAAGAAACGUUUGACCAUGAGCGACCACUGCUGCUGUGGCUGCGUAACAAAUGGGAUUCACAAAUCUGAGGAUCAUCCGAUAGGCAAUGAUAAAUGGUAGUUUGUCCCCAGGCCUGCGAUCUGUAUCUUCUUAUUGGUAACAGCGUUGUAUCCGCAAAGCUCUGACAGCAAAAGCAAGUGCAACAUUUCAGAGAUCCUCAAAGAUUAUAAAGUGGUCAUCUUCCAGGACAUCAAGAGCCUGAAUCUCACAGGACUUGAAUAUUCAAACAAAAACAGGAAUCUGGGAAAUUCUUGCCAGUCUGAUAAGGAAUACAAGAUUCUGCAAUCAAUAUACAAAAUGACCCUUUUACUCAAGUGUCAGGUCAGAGUAAAUAAAAUGAAUGGCAUCAAAGAAGCUGUGCGUAAAACAACAAUGCAGAUUGAAUCUGCUAUCAACCAGCACUGCAAGAAAAUGAAUAAGAAAAAGAGACAACAAAAGGACUCCAGAUGUACACAGAGAAACUUGAAGAGUCAGAGAAGCAUAAGGAGAUUUAAGAAGGACUUGUCAAAAACCAUUGAGACUCUGGUGCUCUGUUGGGCAAAAUUAGACACUAUGCAUCCCCAACGCUAAGAAGAAGCGAGACCUGGGAUUGGACUUGGUAUAUCUGAGGUACUGAGGUGUCAGCACUGGCUAGACCGAGUGAACAGCAGAAGGGGAGGUAUUAGAAACUGUGUACAAUAGCGUGUCUUUAUCUUUUUAUAAUCUGUGUUUGUAAUCUGUGCACAUGCUUGAUUUAGGCCUAUUAAAUGCAGACAUCCCAUGAUGAAUUGCACUGCAAAAUUGCCGGUUGUUCUUCGUGCAUUUCCCUUGCUCAUUGUGCGCGUUUAUCAUGGUUAUCCACAGUUUAUAGCAAGCUUAACAGUGCGUAUCUGUGAUUUAGUAUGCUGUACUGUACUUUGCUAUGCUUACCUUCGAGAUGUCAAAAUCCUCUGCAGCUCUCUUCUUCCCUUACAGGUCGGGUUUGACUGCAUGUUGAGUAGUUCCUGACUGGGACAGUUAUCGUUCUUUAAAGGUGCCUGACAAAUGCUCAGUCAGACUGCACUUUUAAAUCUUUCCUAAUGGGCCUGAUAAGUAUUCCAAUAGAUCCCAAUAAAGCGGUCACUUAAUUCUUUAUGAGUACUGUGUAAUUUACUUGUCGAACCUGCCCUGUUCAAGAGAAGGGGGAAUCGUACAGUAAAUAAUUGUGACGGUGCGACCAAAUAAAACAUGAAUAAACAUUGCACCUUAGUGUGAGACUGACCCACCUAAUGAAGGGUAUUCUACUGGAAACCGUUUUAUACUUUUUUUAACAUUGUUUUCUAUUAGUUUCAGUAUUCAGUGAGUCAAUGAUGUGGCAGUCUGUCACUAGGGUAUUUUUUUUAACAGAGUUCACGUAUAUAGUGACAUGCCUGUUUCAUAUCUGACAACAAAAAACUGGCACACAGAUCUUGGUAAGAUGUGAGUUGUUUUUCAUUUUUAAAACAUUUUAUGUUGCUAAAUUUGUAAGAUAUUUCUUUUCAUCGGUGCUUUGUUGGAGUGCAAUAACAUGUUCUUCACCCCUCUGGACAUAGCCGGUUGAAUAACAUACCGUUUGUAAUAGCUUUUAGGGCUAAGCUAGCCUUCAGGUAUCUCUCCUGGGCUCUCGUGUGUUGCUUUAACUUGACCAUGGUCAUUUAUAUGCAACAUUGUACAAUAAUGAUCCUGAUCAUACCCAAUGUAUUGUAUAUUUCACCUUGCCACUACAGUAAAUAAGCUAAUACAAUCUUA